UUAAACUGAAGAGUUUGAUCAUGGCUCAGAUUGAACGCUGGCGGCAGGCUUAACACAUGCAAGUCGAGCGGUAACAGGGGGAGCUUGCUCCCUGCUGACGAGCGGCGGACGGGUGAGUAAUGCAUAGGAAUCUGCCCAGUAGUGGGGGAUAGCCCGGGGAAACCCGGAUUAAUACCGCAUACGCCCUACGGGGGAAAGCAGGGGAUCUUCGGACCUUGCGCUAUUGGAUGAGCCUAUGUCGGAUUAGCUAGUUGGUGGGGUAAAGGCCUACCAAGGCGACGAUCCGUAGCUGGUCUGAGAGGAUGAUCAGCCACAUC
rnacentral:rRNA from 1 species